rnacentral:sRNA from 1 species
UAAUAAGGAUCAAAGGCUAAUUUCGCAACAUCCUGUUGCAACGCGCCCUUUGUGACCUACAUCCUGUAGG